rnacentral:rRNA from 1 species
GACGAACGCUGGCGGCGUGCUUAACACAUGCAAGUCGAACGAGGUCCAUGGUGCUUGCACCGGAAGACCUAGUGGCGAACGGGUGAGGAACACGUGAGAAACCUGCCCCGGACUCUGGGAUAACAGUUGGAAACGACUGCUAAUACCGGAUGCCGUUGCGGAGUCGCAUGGCUCUGCAACGAAAGAAUUUCGGUCCGGGAGGGUCUCGCGGCCUAUCAGCUUGUUGGUGGGGUAACGGCCUACCAAGGCAUCGACGGGUAGCUGGUCUGAGAGGAGGAUCAGCCACACUGGGACUGAGACACGGCCCAGACUCCUACGGGAGGCAGCAGUGGGGAAUCUUGCGCAAUGGGCGAAAGCCUGACGCAGCAACGCCGCGUGCGGGAAGAAGGCCUUCGGGUUGUAAACCGCUUUCAGCAGGAACGAAAAUGACGGUACCUGCAGAAGAAGGUGCGGCCAACUACGUGCCAGCAGCCGCCGUAA